rnacentral:tRNA from 1 species
GCCAAUGUGGUGUAGUGGUUUGAGCAGUGGACUAUAAUUCUGGAGACCAGGGUUCAAUUCCCCACUUGGCC